UACGUAGGCAGCGAGCGUUGUUCGGAGUUACUGGGCGUAAAGGGUGCGUAGGCGGUUGUUUAAGUUUGGUGUGAAAUCUCCCGGCUCAACUGGGAGGGUGCGCCGAAUACUGAAUGACUAGAGUGCGGGAGAGGAGAGUGGAAUUCCUGGUGUAGCGGUGAAAUGCGUAGAUAUCAGGAGGAACACCGGUGGUGUAGACGGCUCUCUGGACCGUAACUGACGCUGAGGCACGAAAGCGUGGGUAGCAAACGGG
rnacentral:rRNA from 1 species